CCUACGGGUGGCUGCAGUGGGGAAUAUUGCGCAAUGGGCGAAAGCCUGACGCAGCGACGCCGCGUGAGGGAUGAAGGUCUUCGGAUCGUAAACCUCUGUCAGCAGGGAAGAACGGUCACUGUGCUAAUCAGCAGUGAAUUGACGGUACCUGCAAAGGAAGCACCGGCUAACUCCGUGCCAGCAGCCGCGGGAAUACGGAGGGUGCGAGCGUUAAUCGGAAUUACUGGGCGUAAAGCGCUCGUAGGCGGUAUGUCAAGUCAAGGGUGAAAUCCCCGCGCUCAACGUGGGAACUGCCUUUGAAACUGGCAAACUGGAGUGUGUGAGAGGUUAGUGGAAUUUCAGGUGUAGGAGUGAAAUGCGUAGAUAUCUGGAGGAACAUCAGUGGCGAAGGCGACUAUCUGGCACAUAACUGACGCUGAGGAGCGAAAGCGUGGGUAGCAAACAGGAUUAGAUACCCUUGUAGUC
rnacentral:rRNA from 1 species